CAGCUAGCUAGUGCAGUACUACUUUUCAAAUGGUUUGUGAUACGGAUUUCAGACUGAAUCAUGUUCCUUUAUAGUUUUGUUCUUCAUGGCUUCGAGUUCCAGAAGUGAGGCAUUCUACAUGGUCAACACUAGGAGAGAGCUUCAUUCAUCUGUAGUUGAUGAUCCAAAUCGCCCACUUGCCCCAUCUAAUUUGAAGAUGAUAGAAAAGAGGCUGCCAUCGCAGCAAGUUCAGGCGGAUGCACAGUUCAAGACGAAGAAGGCCUAGCCCAGAAACAGGAGUGUUCGCUUUUGGUAACACAUGUGUUGGCUAGAUGUUCAUUCCGUGUUAUCUAGGUACCUGAGGGUCUGAAGAUUGUACUCCUCCCUUUUGUAGCUGGCGUGUAAAUAUGAACGAGGUGCCCCGUUGCAACAAUUCGCUUGUGCACCGCGUGUGGAUGUUUCUUCUACCGUUCCUUACU